rnacentral:rRNA from 1 species
UACAGAGGUGGCGAGCGUUGUUCGGAUUUACUGGGCGUAAAGGGUGCGUAGGCGGCCGCGUGUGUCGGAUGUGAAAUCUCGCAGCUCAACUGCGAAACGGCAUCCGAAACUACGGGGCUCGAGUACCGGAGAGGAAGAUGGAAGUCUCGGUGUAGCGGUGAAAUGCGUAGAUAUCGAGAGGAACACCCGUGGCGAAGGCGAUCUUCUGGACGGAUACUGACGCUGAGGCACGAAGGCCGGGGGAGCAAACAGG